GAUGAAAACUUUCCAUUUUUCCUCUCCCAAAUCAUAGACUAAACACUCUUGGCGAGCAAUGUAUAAGUAAAAUACUUACAAAGACUGCAUAUGAAAACAUUUCUUAUGCUUGCAUAUUCCCUUAAUAUAACUGUGGAAUCCACAGUAGUGAAAAUCCCUACAUUUUAGUUCAUCUCUUAGGAUGUGGUUAAGUCUAGGGUGUACACGGGUCAGGUUUGACAGAUUGAUAUUAUUCCUACGUGUAGCCAACUUGCCAACCUUCAAGAAGCGGUGGUUUGGCUAAUAUUUUGGAUAAUUG
rnacentral:lncRNA from 1 species